rnacentral:lncRNA from 1 species
GAGAUUUCUCCGUCCGAAAUUAAAAGUUUCAAGUUCGAAUCAUGAAAAUAGAUAAAUUCAUUGUACAAACGCUUCCUAGCUCCUUCAAUAUGAUGUACGCGAUGCAAGUCAAAUUAAUUGGACCAAUGAAUUUCAAUAUGAGAUAGGGGUCUAGGGAGGGUAAUGUGUAAACAGACCUUAUCCCUAGCCCGAGGGAUAGAGAAGUUUUUUCCGAUAGACCAUCGGCCGAAGAAGACAAAAAAAAAGACGAAAAGAGACAAUAUAUCAGUACCAUCAAAUAAACAUAAAAUUUCUCUAUUUGCAUAAAGUUAAAGAUAUAACAACUUGGUUUAAUGAAGUAAUACUAAUACCUCGAAUCUAAAUAGCUUAGAUGAGGCAAUAUAUUGAAUUUAAUGAGAAAUUGGAUACCAUAUAGCAAAAUGGCAUAUGCACAACAAUAAUGAAGUAUUUUGGAAGGAAAUAAGAAUGAGAUUUGUGGGGUGCCCACAAAAAAGCUUAAAGAACAUGUUCUGCUGCCUUUUAUCAUUGGAAAAAAGCUGUACAAAUGGCAACAAACAACAAGAAGAGAUAGUAAACCUAGUCACCAUUCUUAGCAAAUUGCAUUUUCC